GACGAACGCUGGCGGCGUGCUUAACACAUGCAAGUCGAACGGAAAGGCCCUGCUUUUGUGGGGUGCUCGAGUGGCGAACGGGUGAGUAACACGUGAGUAACCUUCCCUUGACUUUUGGAUAACUUCAGGUAACUGGGGCUAAUACCGGAUAGGAGCUCCUGCUGCAUGGUGGGGGUUGGAAAGUUUCGGCGGUUGGGGAUGGACUCGCGGCUUAUCAGCUUGUUUGUGGGGUAGUGGCUUACCAAGGCUUGGACGGGUAGCCGGCCUGAGAGGGUGAACGGGCACAUGGGGACUGAGAUACGGACCAGAAUCCUACGGGAGGCAGCAGUGGGGAAUAUUGCACAAUGGGCGGAAGCCUGAUGCAGAAACGCCGCGUGCGGGAUGACGGCCUUCGGGUUGUAAACCGCUUUCGCCUGUGACGAAGCGUGAGUGACGGUAAUGGGUAAAGAAGCACCGGCUAACUACGUG
rnacentral:rRNA from 1 species